GCAUCGCUGACGAGUCCCAAACAGGACGAAACAGCUGUCCAGUGC
rfam:Echinostoma caproni strain Egypt genome assembly, scaffold: ECPE_scaffold0002311